AAGGGCUUGAUAACUGCUAAUUUAAAAGAUUUAGGUACAUAGCCAAUGCUAAGGGAAGAAUUGAUUAUCUU